GUUUGAUUCCUGGCUCAGGACGAACGCUGGCGGCGUGCCUAAUACAUGCAAGUCGAGCGAAUGAUGAAGAAGCUUGCUUCUUCUGAUUUAGCGGCGGACGGGUGAGUAACACGUGGGCAACCUGCCCUGUAGAUUGGGAUAACUCCGGGAAACCGGGGCUAAUACCGAAUAAUCCAUUUCCUCACAUGAGGAAAUGUUAAAAGACGGUNUCGGCUGUCACUACAGGAUGGGCCCGCGGCGCAUUAGCUAGUUGGUGGGGUAAUGGCUCACCAAGGCGACGAUGCGUAGCCGACCUGAGAGGGUGAUCGGCCACACUGGGACUGAGACACGGCCCAGACUCCUACGGGAGGCAGCAGUAGGGAAUCUUCCACAAUGGACGAAAGUCUGAUGGAGCAACGCCGCGUGAGUGAAGAAGGUUUUCGGAUCGUAAAACUCUGUUGUGAGGGAAGAACAAGUACGAGAGUAACUGCUCGUACCUUGACGGNACCUCAUU
rnacentral:rRNA from 1 species